rnacentral:rRNA from 1 species
AUGGGGCCAGCACGGGACUGGUCCGGGCUGCCGGAGGACCUCCUCCUCGUCGCCAUGGCCGCUAUGGAAGUCCCCGACGUCCUCCGCUCGGGAGCCGUCUGCUGCUCCUGGCGCUCCGCGUCCGCCACGUUCCGUCGUCUCCGUCUCCCCUCCACGGCGCUGAACCAGCCUCCGUGCCUGCUAUACGCGUGCGAUGCCUACGGAGCAGACGACGCCACGGCGCUCUACUCCCCCUCUGCCAACGCCACCUUCCGCCUGCCAUCCUCGCUCCGCGGCGUCGUCGGGUCGGCGCACGGGUGGCUCUUCACUACCGACGAGGCGGCCAACCCCUACCUCCUCAACCCUCUCACCGGCGCCCGGGCCGCGCUCCCGCCCAUCACCACUCUCGAGGGCGUGAAGAUCCACAGCAACCCGGACGACGAUGGCGGUGUACUCUACGACGUUGACCGCGGGAUGCGGAGCUUCCCGAAAGUGAAACAGGCCAAUGCGCGGACCGCGAAGGACUGGGUGUACGGCCGGGUCGCCAUCUCCGCGGCGGGCGCGUCGCCGGGGUGCAUCGUCUUGCUCGCACACACGCCGUGCGGAAGUCUCUCCUUCGCGAGGCCCGGCGACGAGAGCUGGACCUCGCUGCCUGAACCAUACUCGACCACGGAGGUCGCCAUUGCUGUCUACAACGAGAGGGAUGGCCUGUUUUACACGCUAUGCGAGGGCGGCGUCGUGUGCACCUUCGACCUGAGCAACCCGUCGUCCCCGGCGGUGCGGCGCAUAGCAUACGGUGCGAAGAUGCAUUCGUCAGGCAGCGCUGCUAGGCACUCGCACUACCUCCUGUUCACGCCGGGCAACGCCAUCCUGGUGGUGACGAGGCGCUUUGCCAGGGCACUGGACACUCCGCGUGGCGGCGGCGUUGCCACCACUGACCUCUGGAUCCACAAGGUCCGCGGUCGGGACUGGACAGGCUUGGGUGACAAUGCUCUCAUCCUCGGCCGGAACUCGCCGCUGUGCCUCCCGAUCAAGGACUAUCCCAUGUUGCGCCCAAACUGCGCCUAUCUGACGGACGAUCUUCAGCAGCACUACACGCCAGUCAGGCGGCGCAACCUCGGCAUCUGGGACUUCGAGACCGGGAGCCUGCAGAAGCUUGACGAUCUCAGGCCUCUCCUUCCUUGGCUGGAAACACCACCACCAAUUUGGAUUACGCCAUCUUUUUACUAG